UGAGGAAGUUUCUGUCAUGGGAAGUUUGGAAAGAAUUGGUUGUUUGUUUAUGACAUCAAACUUCUUUCCAAUUCCUCCCAUGCCAGUGGUUUCUCA
rnacentral:pre_miRNA from 1 species